UCAGGAUGAACGCUGGCGGCGUGCUUAACACAUGCAAGUCGAACGAAGCUAAGGGAGCUUGCUCCCAAAGCUUAGUGGCGGACGGGUGAGUAACGCGUGGGUAACCUGCCCUAUAGAGGGGGAUAACGUUCGGAAACGAACGCUAAUACCGCAUAAACCAUAAGGAGCUGCAUGGCUCUGAUGGCAAAGAUUUAUCGCUAUAGGAUGGACCUGCGUUGGAUUAGCUAGUUGGUGAGAUAACAGCUCACCAAGGCGACGAUCCAUAGCCGGCCUGAGAGGGUGAACGGCCACAUUGGGACUGAGACACGGCCCAAACUCCUACGGGAGGCAGCAGUGGGGAAUAUUGCACAAUGGGCGCAAGCCUGAUGCAGCGACGCCGCGUGAAGGAAGAAGGUCUUCGGAUUGUAAACUUCUAUCAGCAGGGAAGAAUAAAUGACGGUACCUGACUAAGAAGCCCCGGCUAACUACGUGCCAGCCGCUGC
rnacentral:rRNA from 1 species